rnacentral:rRNA from 1 species
AAUACGGAAUGUGCAAACGUUAUUCGGAAUCACUGGGCUUAAAGAGUCCGUAGGCGGCAUGUUAGGUGAGGUGUGAAAUCCCCCGGCUCAACCGAGGAAUUGCGCUUCAAACCGGCGUGCUUGAGGAAGAUAGAGGUGGGCGGAACUGAUGGUGGAGCGGUGAAAUGCGUUGAUAUCAUCAGGAACACCGGAGGCGAAGGCGGCCCACUGGGUCUUUUCUGACGCUGAGGGACGAAAGCUAGGGGAGCGAACGG